rnacentral:rRNA from 1 species
AUGAACGCUGGCGGCGUGCCUAAUACAUGCAAGUCGAGCGAACGAACGAGAAGCUUGCUUUUCUGAUGUUAGCGGCGGACGGGUGAGUAACACGUGGAUAACCUACCUAUAAGACUGGGAUAACUUCGGGAAACCGGAGCUAAUACCGGAUAAUAUUUUGAACCGCAUGGUUCAAAAGUGAAAGACGGUCUUGCUGUCACUUAUAGAUGGAUCCGCGCUGCAUUAGCUAGUUGGUAAGGUAACGGCUUACCAAGGCAACGAUGCAUAGCCGACCUGAGAGGGUGAUCGGCCACACUGGAACUGAGACACGGUCCAGACUCCUACGGGAGGCAGCAGUAGGGAAUCUUCCGCAAUGGGCGAAAGCCUGACGGAGCAACGCCGCGUGAGUGAUGAAGGUCUUCGGAUCGUAAAACUCUGUUAUUAGGGAAGAACAUAUGUGUAAGUAACUGUGCACAUCUUGACGGUACCUAAUCAGAAAGCCACGGCUAACUACGUG